GACGAACGCUGGCGGCGUGCUUAACACAUGCAAGUCGAACGGAAAGGCCCUGCUUUUGUGGGGUGCUCGAGUGGCGAACGGGUGAGUAACACGUGAGUAACCUGCCCUUGACUUUGGGAUAACUUCAGGAAACUGGGGCUAAUACCGGAUAGGAGCUCCUGCUGCAUGGUGGGGGUUGGAAAGUUUCGGCGGUUGGGGAUGGACUCGCGGCUUAUCAGCUUGUUGGUGGGGUAGUGGCUUACCAAGGCUUUGACGGGUAGCCGGCCUGAGAGGGUGACCGGCCAAAUUGGGACUGGGAUACGGCCCAGACUCCUACGGGGGGGAACGGUGGGGAAUAUUGCAAAAUGGGGGGAAGCCGGAUGCAGCAACGCCGCGUGGGGGAUGACGGCCUUCGGGUUGUAAACCGCUUUCCCCUGUGACGAAGGGUGAGUGACGGUAAUGGGUAAAGAAGCACCGGCUAACUACGU
rnacentral:rRNA from 1 species